rnacentral:pre_miRNA from 1 species
UAUCAAUCUAACGGAAUCAUUUCUGCACAGACUAGACUCUGAGAACCAGUGUGCGGAAAUGCUUCUGCUACAUUGGUAGG